rnacentral:tRNA from 1 species
GGUCAGACAGGUGCAGUGGGUAGCACUGUUGCCUCCUUAGAAGGAGGAGGUUACUGGGUUCGAAUCCCAGCUGGCCC